GUCUACAGUCAUACCAUACUGAAGGUACCCAAUCUUGUAGGAUCUCGGAAGCUAAGCAGGGUUGGGAUUUCCUAAUACUUGAAUGGGAGGACACCAAGAAAGACCAGUUCAAUGAACAAA
rnacentral:rRNA from 1 species